GUGCCGAUGGUGUAGUGGUUAACAUUCUGCGCUGUGAACGCAGAGAAGGCCGGUUCAAAUCCGGCUCGGCACC
rnacentral:tRNA from 1 species